UACAGAGGUCCCAAGCGUUGUUCGGAUUCACUGGGCGUAAAGGGUGCGUAGGUGGUUAGGUAAGUCGGAUGUGAAAUCUCCGGGCUCAACCCGGAAACUGCAUUGGAAACUACCUUGCUUGAGGAUUUGAGGGGGGAUUGGAAUACUUGGUGUAGCAGUGAAAUGCGUAGAUAUCAAGUGGAACACCAGUGGCGAAGGCGAAUCCCUGGAAAAUACCUGACACUGAGGCACGAAAGCUAGGGGAGCAAACAGG
rnacentral:rRNA from 1 species